rnacentral:rRNA from 1 species
GACGAACGCUGGCGGCGUGCUUAACACAUGCAAGUCGAACGAUGAAGCCGGAGCUUGCUCUGGUGAAUUAGUGGCGAACGGGUGAGUAACACGUGAGUAACCUGCCCUUGACUCUGGGAUAACUGCUAGAAAUGGUAGCUAAUACCGGAUACGACCCUCGGCCGCAUCGCCAGGGGGUGGAAAGAAUUUCGGUCAAGGAUGGACUCGCGGCCUAUCAGCUAGUUGGUGGGGUAACGGCUAACCAAGGCGACGCCGGGUAGCCGGCCUGAGAGGGUGACCGGCCACACUGGGACUGAGACACGGCCCAGACUCCUACGGGAGGCAGCAGUGGGGAAUAUUGCACAAUGGGCGCAAGCCUGAUGCAGCAACGCCGCGUGAGGGAUGACGGCCUUCGGGUUGUAAACCUCUUUUAGUAGGGAAGAAGCGAAAGUGACGGUACCUGCAGAAAAAGCACCGGCUAACUACGUGCCAGCCGCCGCCGUAA